UCCUACGGGAGGCAGCAGUGGGGGAUAUUGCACAAUGGAGGAAACUCUGAUGCAGCAACGCCGCGUGAAGGAAGACGGUCUUCGGAUUGUAAACUUUUGUACUCAGGGACGAUAAUGACGGUACCUGAGCAGCAAGCUCCGGCUAACUACGUGCCAGCAGCCGCGGUAAUA
rnacentral:rRNA from 1 species